rnacentral:rRNA from 1 species
AGUACUGUGAAACUGCAAUGGCUCAUUAAAUCAGUUAUCGUUUAUUUGAUUGUACCUUUACUACUUGGAUAACCGUAGUAAUUCUAGAGCUAAUACAUGCGAAAAGUCCCGACUGUCUUCGGAAGGGAUGUAUUUAUUAGAGUAAAAACCAAUGCGGGUUCUGCCCGGUGUUGUGGUGAAUCAUAGUAACUGAUCGAAUCGCACGGCCUUUGCGCUGGCGAUGUUUCAUUCAAAUAUCUGCCCUAUCAACUGUCGAUGGUAAGGUAGUGGCUUACCAUGGUUGCAACGGGUGACGGAGAAUUAGGGUUCGAUUCCGGAGAGGGAGCCUGAGAAACGGCUACCACAUCCAAGGAAGGCAGCAGGCGCGCAAAUUACCCAAUCCUGACCCAGGGAGGUAGUGACAAGAAAUACACAAUACAGGGCUUU